rnacentral:rRNA from 1 species
GACGAACGCUGGCGGCGUGCCUAAUACAUGCAAGUUGAGCGCUGAAGGUUGGUACUUGUACCAACUGGAUGAGCAGCGAACGGGUGAGUAACGCGUGGGGAAUCUGCCUUUGAGCGGGGGACAACAUUUGGAAACGAAUGCUAAUACCGCAUAAAAACUUUAAACACAAGUUUUAAGUUUGAAAGAUGCAAUUGCAUCACUCAAAGAUGAUCCCGCGUUGUAUUAGGUAGUUGGUGAGGUAAAGGCUCACCAAGGCGAUGAUACGUAGCCGACCUGAGAGGGGGAUCGGCCACAUUGGGACUGAGAAACGGCCCAAACUGCUACGGGGAGCAGCAGUAGGGAAUCUUCGGCAAUGGACGAAAGUCUGACCGAGCAACGCCGCGUGAGUGAAGAAGGUUUUCGGAUCGUAAAACUCUGUUGGUAGGGAAGAACGUUGGUGAGAGUGGAAAGCUCAUCAAGUGACGGUAACUACCCAGAAAGGGACGGCUAACUACGUG